GACGAACGCUGGCGGCGUGCUUGACACAUGCAAGUCGAACGGAAAGGCCCUGCUUUUGUGGGGUGCUCGAGUGGCGAACGGGUGAGUAACACGUGAGUAACCUGCCCUUGACUUUGGGAUAACUUCAGGAAACUGGGGCUAAUACCGGAUAGGAGCUCCUGCUGCAUGGUGGGGGUUGGAAAGUUUCGGCGGUUGGGGAUGGACUCGCGGCUUAUCAGCUUGUUGGUGGGGUAGUGGCUUACCAAGGCUUUGACGGGUAGCCGGCCUGAGAGGGUGACCGGCCACAUUGGGACUGAGAUACGGCCCAGACUCCUACGGGAGGCAGCAGUGGGGAAUAUUGCACAAUGGGCGGAAGCCUGAUGCAGCAACGCCGCGUGCGGGAUGACGGCCUUCGGGUUGUAAACCGCUUUCGCCUGUGACGAAGCGUGAGUGACGGUAAUGGGUAAAGAAGCACCGGCUAACUACGUG
rnacentral:rRNA from 1 species